rnacentral:rRNA from 1 species
AGUGAACGCUGGCGGUAGGCCUAACACAUGCAAGUCGAACGGCAGCACAGUAAGAGCUUGCUCUUACGGGUGGCGAGUGGCGGACGGGUGAGGAAUACAUCGGAAUCUACUUUUUCGUGGGGGAUAACGUAGGGAAACUUACGCUAAUACCGCAUACGACCUACGGGUGAAAGCAGGGGAUCUUCGGACCUUGCGCGAUUGAAUGAGCCGAUGUCGGAUUAGCUAGUUGGCGGGGUAAAGGCCCACCAAGGCGGCGAUCCGUAGCUGGUCUGAGAGGAUGAUCAGCCACACUGGAACUGAGACACGGGCCAGACUCCUACGGGAGGCAGCAGUGGGGAAUAUUGGACAAUGGGCGCAAGCCUGAUCCAGCCAUACCGCGUGGGUGAAGAAGGCCUUCGGGUUGUAAAGCCCUUUUGUUGGGAAAGAAAAGCAGCAGGUUAAUACCCCGCUGUUCUGACGGUACCCAAAGGAUAAGCACCGGCUAACUUCGUG